AGUAACGCGUAGGAAUCUACCUGGUAGUGGGGGACAACAUGGUGAAAACCAUGCUAAUACCGCAUACGCCCCAUGGGGGAAAGCGGGGGAUCUUCGGACCUCGCGCUAUCAGAUGAGCCUGCGUAGGAUUAGCUAGUUGGUGAGGUAAAGGCUCACCAAGGCGACGAUCCUUAGCUGGUCUGAGAGGAUGAUCAGCCACACUGGAACUGAGACACGGUCCAG
rnacentral:rRNA from 1 species